UCCGUAGGUGAACCUGCGGAGGGAUCAUUACACAAAUAUGAAGGCGGGCUGGAACCUCUCGGGGUUACAGCCUUGCUGAAUUAUUCACCCUUGUCUUUUGCGUACUUCUUGUUUCCUUGGUGGGUUCGCCCACCACUAGGACAAACAUAAACCUUUUGUAAUUGCAAUCAGCGUCAGUAACAAAUUAAUAAUUACAACUUUCAACAACGGAUCCCUUGGUUCUGGCAUCGAUGAAGAACGCAGCGAAAUGCGAUAAGUAGUGUGAAUUGCAGAAUUCAGUGAAUCAUCGAAUCUUUGAACGCACAUUGCGCCCUUUGGUAUUCCAAAGGGCAUGCCUGUUCGAGCGUCAUUUGUACCCUCAAGCUUUGCUUGGUGUUGGGCGUCUUGUCUCUAGCUUUGCUGGAGACUCGCCUUAAAGUAAUUGGCAGCCGGCCUACUGGUUUCGGAGCGCAGCACAAGUCGCACUCUCUAUCAGCAAAGGUCUAGCAUCCAUUAAGCCUUUUUUUCAACUUUUGACCUCGGAUCAGGUAGGGAUACCCGCUGAACUUAAGCAUAUCAAUAAGCGGAGGA
rnacentral:rRNA from 1 species